CAAGUGAUCUACCCUUGGCCAGGUUGAAGGCUGGGUAACACCAGCUGGAGGACCGCACCAAUAAGCGUUGAAAAGCUUCUGGAUGAGCUGAGGGUAGGGGUGAAAGGCUAAUCAAACUUGGAGAUAGCUCGUACUCCCCGAAAUGCAUUUAGGUGCAGCCUUGCGGGUUACUGAUGUGAGGUAGAGCGACUGAUAAGAUGCGAGGGCUUCACCGCCUAUCAAGUCUUGACAAACUCCGAAUGCGUGUCAGUUCUAUGUCAGGAGUGAGGGCAUGGGUGCUAAGGUCCGUGCCCGAGAGGAGAAGAAUCCGGACCACCUGCUAAGGUCCCGAAAUGACAGCUAAGUUAAACUAACGAAGUCUGACUGCUAAGACAGCUAGGAUGUUGGCUUGGAAGCAGCCAUUCAUUUAAAGAGUGCGUAACAGCUCACUAGUCGAGGAGUUUGGCGUGGAUAAUAAUCGGGCAUAAGUGGUUUACCGAAGCUAUGGGAUGUUUAAUACAUCGGUAGGGGAGCAUUCCACUCUGCGUUGAAGGUGAAGCGUGAGCUUUGCUGGAGCGUGUGGAAAAGCAAAUGUAGGUAUAAGUAACGAUAAGGCAGGCGAGAAACCUGCCCGCCGAAAGACUAAGGUUUCCUGAUCAACGCUAAUCGGAUCAGGGUAAGUCGGGUCCUAAGGCUCAGCCGAACGGCGAGGCCGAUGGCAGACACGGUUAAUAUUCCGUGACCCUCUGCUGGAGCGACGUGGAGACGGAGCAGUGACACCACCGCGCCCUGACGGAAUAGGGCGUUGAAGGCCGUAGGUGCUGACGGAGGCAGGCAAAUCCACCUCCAGAGCUGAAAGCCGACAGUACGCUUCCUCCUUCGGGAGGCGGCGACAGCGUGGGUAACCAUACUUCCUAGAAAAUCCGCUAAGCAUAUCCAUCUGAGGCCCGUACCGCAAUCCGACACAGGUAGACGGGUAGAACAUACUGAGGCGUUGGGAGAUUCAUGGCUAAGGAACUAGGCAAACUGACCCCGUAACUUCGGGAUAAGGGGUCCUCACGGCAACGUGAGGCGCAGAGAAUAGGCCCAGGCAACUGUUUAACAAAAACACAGGGCUGUGCAAACUCGAAAGAUGACGUAUACAGCCUGACACCUGCCCGGUGCCGGAAGGUUAAGAGGAGAUGUCACACUUAUGUGGAAGCAUUGAAUUGAAGCCCCGGUAAACGGCGGCCGUAACUAUAACGGUCCUAAGGUAGCGAAAUUCCUUGUCGGGU
rnacentral:rRNA from 1 species